rnacentral:pre_miRNA from 1 species
AGCCUUCUCUAUCUGUGAUGAGAUUUCGUCAGCGAUCAACCCGUUGGGAUCGGCUGAUGCAACUCCACAAAUAAGUGAAGCG